UACGUAGGCAGCAAGCGUUGUUCGGAGUUACUGGGCGUAAAGAGCGUGUAGGCGGCCAGGUAGGUCGGUUGUGAAAACUGGAGGCUCAACCUUCAGAGGUCGACCGAAACCAUCUGGCUAGAGUCCGGGAGAGGAGAGUGGAAUUCCUGGUGUAGCGGUGAAAUGCGCAGAUAUCAGGAAGAACACCAAUGGCGAAAGCAGCUCUCUGGGACGGUACUGACGCUGAGACGCGAAAGCGUGGGGAGCGAACAGG
rnacentral:rRNA from 1 species